rnacentral:rRNA from 1 species
UUGCGUCACAGCACACACCAAAAAAUAACACACAUACAAACAACCUCUUACAACCACAUCAGUGCUAAUCUAUAAAAAUAUAGAAGAAAUAAUGCUAGAACUAGUAACAAGAAUAAAUCUCUACGCACAACUGUAAAUCAGUAAUAGAAAAACUACUGAAAAUUAACAACUUAGUGCUCAUAUU